rnacentral:rRNA from 1 species
AUGAACGCUAGCGGCAGGCUUAACACAUGCAAGUCGAGGGGCAGCAUAAUGGUAGUAAUACUAUUGAUGGCGACCGGCGGACGGGUGCGUAACGCGUAUGCAACCUACCCUUUACAGGGGGAUAACACUGAGAAAUCGGUACUAAUACCCCAUAAUAUUCUGGGAGGCAUCUUUCGGAGUUGAAAGCUUUGGUGGUAAAGGAUGGGCAUGCGUUGUAUUAGCUAGUUGGUAAGGUAACGGCUUACCAAGGCGACGAUACAUAGGGGGACUGAGAGGUUAACCCCCCACAUUGGUACUGAGACACGGACCAAACUCCUACGGGAGGCAGCAGUGAGGAAUAUUGGUCAAUGGACGGAAGUCUGAACCAGCCAUGCCGCGUGCAGGAAGACGGCUCUAUGAGUUGUAAACUGCUUUUGUACGAGGGUAAACGCAGAUACGUGUAUCUGCCUGAAAGUAUCGUACGAAUAAGGAUCGGCUAACUCCGUGCCAGCAGCCGCGGUAAUACGGAGGAUCCAAGCGUUAUCCGGAUUUAUUGGGUUUAAAGGGUGCGUAGGCGGUUUAGUAAGUCAGCGGUGAAAUUUUGGUGCUUAACACCAAACGUGCCGUUGAUACUGCUGGGCUAGAGAGUAGUUGCGGUAGGCGGAAUGUAUGGUGUAGCGGUGAAAUGCUUAGAGAUCAUACAGAACACCGAUUGCGAAGGCAGCUUACCAAACUAUAUCUGACGUUGAGGCACGAAAGCGUGGGGAGCAAACAGGAUUAGAUACCCUGGUAGUCCACACCGUAAACGAUGGAUACUAGGUGUAGGGUGUGAUAAACAUUCUGUGCCGUCGCAAACGCAAUAAGUAUCCCACCUGGGGAGUACGUUCGCAAGAAUGAAACUCAAAGGAAUUGACGGGGACCCGCACAAGCGGUGGAGCAUGUGGUUUAAUUCGAAGCAACGCGAAGAACCUUACCAGGCCUUGACAUCCCUUGCAGAGGUAUAGAGAUAUAUCCGAGGUUAUCAAGGAGACAGGUGGUGCAUGGUUGUCGUCAGCUCGUGCCGUGAGGUGUCGGGUUAAGUCCCAUAACGAGCGCAACCCCUACUGAUAGUUGCCAUCAGAGCGUUUGAGCGAUCAAACAAGCUGGGCACUCUAUCGGGACUGCCGGUGUAAGCCGAGAGGAAGGUGGGGAUGACGUCAAAUCAGCACGGCCCUUACGUCCGGGGCGACACACGUGUUACAAUGGUAGGUACAGAGGGCAGCCACCCAGUGAUGGGGAGCGAAUCUCGAAAGCCUAUCUCAGUUCGGAUUGGAGGCUGAAACUCGCCUCCAUGAAGUUGGAUUCGCUAGUAAUCGCGCAUCAGCCAUGGCGCGGUGAAUACGUUCCCGGGCCUUGUACACACCGCCCGUCAAGCCAUGGGAGUUGGGGGUGCCUGAAGUUCGUGACCGAAAGGAGCGACCUAGGGCAAAACCGAUGACUGGGGCU